GGAGAGGUCGCAUAGCUCGGUUGAUUGCGCCGGUUUCGAAAACCGGUAUACCGCAAGGUAUCGUGGGUUCAAAUCCCACCCUCUCCGCAA
rnacentral:tRNA from 3 species